rnacentral:rRNA from 1 species
GGUCAAGUGAAUAAGUGCAUCAGGCGGAUGCCUUGGCGAUGAUAGGCGACGAAGGACGUGUAAGCCUGCGAAAAGCGCGGGGGAGCUGGCAAUAAAGCUAUGAUUCCGCGAUGUCCGAAUGGGGAAACCCACUGCAUUCUGUGCAGUAUCCUAAGUUGAAUACAUAGGCUUAGAGAAGCGAACCCGGAGAACUGAACCAUCUAAGUACCCGGAGGAAAAGAAAUCAACCGAGAUUCCGCAAGUAGUGGCGAGCGAACGCGGAGGAGCCUGUACGUAAUAACUGUCGAGAUAGAAGAACAAGCUGGGAAGCUUGACCAUAGCGGGUGACAGUCCCGUAUUCGAAAUCUCAACAGCGGUACUAAGCGUACGAAAAGUAGGGCGGGACACGUGAAAUCCUGUCUGAAUAUGGGGGGACCAUCCUCCAAGGCUAAAUACUCAUCAUCGACCGAUAGUGAACCAGUACCGUGAGGGAAAGGCGAAAAGAACCCCGGGAGGGGAGUGAAACAGAACCUGAAACCUGAUGCAUACAAACAGUGGGAGCGCCCUAGUGGUGUGACUGCGUACCUUUUGUAUAAUGGGUCAACGACUUACAUUCAGUAGCGAGCUUAACCGGAUAGGGGAGGCGUAGGGAAACCGAGUCUUAAUAGGGCGAUGAGUUGCUGGGUGCAGACCCGAAACCGAGUGAUCUAUCCAUGGCCAGGUUGAAGGUGCCGUAACAGGUACUGGAGGACCGAACCCACGCAUGUUGCAAAAUGCGGGGAUGAGCUGUGGGUAGGGGUGAAAGGCUAAACAAACUCGGAGAUAGCUGGUUCUCCCCGAAAACUAUUUAGGUAGUGCCUCGAGCAAGACACUGAUGGGGGUAAAGCACUGUUAUGGCUAGGGGGUUAUUGCAACUUACCAACCCAUGGCAAACUCAGAAUACCAUCAAGUGGUUCCUCGGGAGACAGACAGCGGGUGCUAACGUCCGUUGUCAAGAGGGAAACAACCCAGACCGCCGGCUAAGGUCCCAAAUGAUAGAUUAAGUGGUAAACGAAGUGGGAAGGCACAGACAGCCAGGAUGUUGGCUUAGAAGCAGCCAUCAUUUAAAGAAAGCGUAAUAGCUCACUGGUCGAGUCGUCCUGCGCGGAAGAUGUAACGGGGCUCAAAUCUAUAACCGAAGCUGCGGAUGCCGGUUUACCGGCAUGGUAGGGGAGCGUUCUGUAGGCUGAUGAAGGUGCAUUGUAAAGUGUGCUGGAGGUAUCAGAAGUGCGAAUGUUGACAUGAGUAGCGAUAAAGCGGGUGAAAAGCCCGCUCGCCGAAAGCCCAAGGUUUCCUACGCAACGUUCAUCGGCGUAGGGUAAGUCGGCCCCUAAGGCGAGGCAGAAAUGCGUAGUCGAUGGGAAACAGGUUAAUAUUCCUGUACUUGAUUCAAAUGCGAUGUGGGGACGGAGAAGGUUAGGUUGGCAAGCUGUUGGAAUAGCUUGUUUAAGCCGGUAGGUGGAAGACUUAGGCAAAUCCGGGUUUUCUUAACACCGAGAAGUGAUGACGAGUGUCUACGGACACGAAGCAACCGAUACCACGCUUCCAGGAAAAGCCACUAAGCUUCAGUUUGAAUCGAACCGUACCGCAAACCGACACAGGUGGGCAGGAUGAGAAUUCUAAGGCGCUUGAGAGAACUCGGGAGAAGGAACUCGGCAAAUUGAUACCGUAACUUCGGGAGAAGGUAUGCCCUCUAAGGUUAAGGACUUGCUCCGUAAGCCCCGGAGGGUCGCAGAGAAUAGGUGGCUGCGACUGUUUAUUAAAAACACAGCACUCUGCCAACACGAAAGUGGACGUAUAGGGUGUGACGCCUGCCCGGUGCCGGAAGGUUAAUUGAAGAUGUGCAAGCAUCGGAUCGAAGCCCCGGUAAACGGCGGCCGUAACUAUAACGGUCCUAAGGUAGCGAAAUUCCUUGUCGGGUAAGUUCCGACCCGCACGAAUGGCGUAACGAUGGCCACACUGUCUCCUCCCGAGACUCAGCGAAGUUGAAGUGGUUGUGAAGAUGCAAUCUACCCGCUGCUAGACGGAAAGACCCCGUGAACCUUUACUGUAGCUUUGCAUUGGACUUUGAAGUCACUUGUGUAGGAUAGGUGGGAGGCUUGGAAGCAGAGACGCCAGUCUCUGUGGAGUCGUCCUUGAAAUACCACCCUGGUGUCUUUGAGGUUCUAACCCAGACCCGUCAUCCGGGUCGGGGACCGUGCAUGGUAGGCAGUUUGACUGGGGCGGUCUCCUCCCAAAGCGUAACGGAGGAGUUCGAAGGUUACCUAGGUCCGGUCGGAAAUCGGACUGAUAGUGCAAUGGCAAAAGGUAGCUUAACUGCGAGACCGACAAGUCGGGCAGGUGCGAAAGCAGGACAUAGUGAUCCGGUGGUUCUGUAUGGAAGGGCCAUCGCUCAACGGAUAAAAGGUACUCCGGGGAUAACAGGCUGAUUCCGCCCAAGAGUUCAUAUCGACGGCGGAGUUUGGCACCUCGAUGUCGGCUCAUCACAUCCUGGGGCUGUAGUCGGUCCCAAGGGUAUGGCUGUUCGCCAUUUAAAGUGGUACGUGAGCUGGGUUUAAAACGUCGUGAGACAGUUUGGUCCCUAUCUGCAGUGGGCGUUGGAAGUUUGACGGGGGCUGCUCCUAGUACGAGAGGACCGGAGUGGACGAACCUCUGGUGUACCGGUUGUAACGCCAGUUGCAUAGCCGGGUAGCUAAGUUCGGAAGAGAUAAGCGCUGAAAGCAUCUAAGCGCGAAACUCGCCUGAAGAUGAGACUUCCCUUGCGGUUUAACCGCACUAAAGGGUCGUUCGAGACCAGGACGUUGAUAGGUGGGGUGUGGAAGCGCGGUAACGCGUGAAGCUAACCCAUACUAAUUGCCCGUGAGGCUUGACUCU